AACGAACGCUGGCGGCAUGCCUAACACAUGCAAGUCGAACGAGACCUUCGGGUCUAGUGGCGCACGGGUGCGUAACGCGUGGGAACCUGCCCUUAGGUUCGGAAUAACUCCCCGAAAGGGGUGCUAAUACCGGAUAAUGUCUUCGGACCAAAGAUUUAUCGCCUUUGGAUGGGCCCGCGUUGGAUUAGCUAGUUGGUAGGGUAAAAGCCUACCAAGGCGACGAUCCAUAGCUGGUCUGAGAGGAUGAUCAGCCACACUGGGACUGAGACACGGCCCAGACUCCUACGGGAGGCAGCAGUGGGGAAUAUUGGACAAUGGGCGAAAGCCUGAUCAGCAAUGCCGCGUGAGUGAUGAAGGCCUUAGGGUUGUAAAGCUCUUUUACCCGGGAUGAUAAUGACAGUACCGGGAGAAUAAGCUCCGGCUAACUCCGUG
rnacentral:rRNA from 1 species